CCUACGGGAGGCAGCAGUGAGGGAUAUUGGUCAAUGGACGAAAGUCUGAACCAGCCAAGUAGCGUGAGGGAUGACUGCCCUAUGGGUUGUAAACUUCUUUUAUAUGGGAGUAGAAUGUUCCAUGUGUGGGAUUUUGUAUGUACCAUAUGAAUAAGGAUCAGCUAACUCCGUGCCAGCAGCGGCGGUAAUACGGAGGAUCCGAGCGUUAUCCGGAUUUAUUGGGGUUAAAGGGAGCGUAGGUGGAGUGGUAAGUCAGUAGUGAAAGUUUGCGGCUCAACCGUAAAAUUGCAGUUGAAACUGGCAGUCUGGAGUACAGUAGAGGUGGGCGGAAUUCGUGGUGUAGCGGUGAAAUGCGUAGAUAUCACGAAGAACUCCGAUUGCGAAGGCAGCUCACUGGACUGCAACUGACACUGAGGCUCGAAAGUGUGGGUAUCAAACAGGAUUAGAUACCCUGGUAGUC
rnacentral:rRNA from 1 species